AGAUGCGAAGCGGGCGCUCUAC
rnacentral:misc_RNA from 1 species